AUCUCAUGUUGAAACUUGAUCCCCAUUGUGGCAGUAUUGAGGUGGGGCCUUUAAGAGGAGAUUGGGUUAUGGGGGUUCUGACCUCAUAAAUGGGUCAAUCCAUUCAUGGAUAAAUUGGUAGAUAGCUGAAUGGCUUAUCAUUGGAAUGGGACCAGUGGCCUUAUAAGAAGAGAGACCUGAGCUAGCACACACAGCCCCCUCACAUGGGCCACCUCAGUACUCUGCAGGGUCCCCACCAGCAGGAAAGCCUUCACCAGAUAUGGCCCUUUGACUCUGACUUCUCAGCCUCCAUAACCACCUUCUGAUUGGCAUGGUCCAUUAUUACAACUGUUUACUACAGGUAGUCAAACAGUGAACAUGAUUCCUUCAGAGAAAGGACCCAAGCUGCCUACAAGCUCCAGUUUGGCAUCCCCUCCCAAAACAAACUUGCAUUAAUGAUUUGCAGUGAACCACCAAUACACCAAGAAGACCGUUUAACUUGUCAAAAACAAGAAUUGUCAGCUGCUGGAAAUGCAAGCCUGACACUUGCAGGCUCUGUAAGGCUGAGAUUCCAUCCCUCCCAGUUCUUGGAGCCAAGACGAGAUCAAUGGGGAAGCUGCCCAGCAGGACAGACCUCACAUGUCACAGGACACCACUUCUGCCAAGCUUGGCAAAGCCAAGGAGCCAUGGUCUGCUAAUUGUGCCACGUGGCCAUAGGCUGGCAGCCUUUAGUGACUUCCGUAGCUUUGCCAGGAAGAAGAGAGGCCUUUAUUUGUUGGAAAUUCUCUGAUGUUAAAAUAAUAUGUCACAGUGGUUUUUUCCUUUCCUGGAAAAUAUGAAUUUCACAAG
rnacentral:lncRNA from 1 species